rnacentral:rRNA from 1 species
UACGUAGGGUGCAAGCGUUAUCCGGAAUUAUUGGGCGUAAAGAGCUCGUAGGCGGUUUGUCGCGUCUGCUGUGAAAACUGGAGGCUCAACCUCCAGCCUGCAGUGGGUACGGGCAAACUAGAGUGCGGUAGGGGAGAUUGGAAUUCCUGGUGUAGCGGUGGAAUGCGCAGAUAUCAGGAGGAACACCGAUGCGAAGGCAGAUCUCUGGGCCGUAACUGACGCUGAGGAGCGAAAGCAUGGGGAGCGAACAGG